AUACGUAGGGGGCGAGCGUUGUCCGGAAUGAUUGGGCGUAAAGGGCGCGUAGGCGGCGCGGUAAGUCUGGAGUGAAAGUCCUGCUUUCAAGGUGGGAAUUGCUUUGGAUACUGCCGCGCUUGAGUGCAGGAGAGGUUAUCGGAAUUCCCGGUGUAGCGGUGAAAUGCGUAGAGAUCGGGAGGAACACCAGUGGCGAAGGCGAGUAACUGGACUGCAACUGACGCUGAGGCGCGAAAGUGUGGGGAGCAAACAGGAUUAGAUUCCCUGGUAGUCCACACUGUAAACGAUGGAUCCUAGGUGUGCGGGGACUGACCCCCUGCGUGCCGGCGUUAACACAAUAAGCAUUCCGCCUGGGGAGUACGGCCGCAAGGUUGAAACUCAAAGGAAUUGACGGGG
rnacentral:rRNA from 1 species